rnacentral:rRNA from 1 species
UUUGAUCCUGGCUCAGAUUGAACGCUGGCGGCAUGCCUUACACAUGCAAGUCGAACGGUAGAGUAGCAAUACUCGAGAGUGGCGAACGGGUGAGUAACAUAUCGGAACGUGCCCAAUCGUGGGGGAUAACGUAGAGAAAUUUACGCUAAUACCGCAUACGAUCUAAGGAUGAAAGCGGGGGGAUCGCAAGACCUCGCGCGAUUGGAGCGGCUGAUAUCAGAUUAGGUUGUUGGUGAGGUAAAAGCUCACCAAGCCGACGAUCUGUAGCUGGUUUGAGAGAACGACCAGCCACACUGGGACUGAGACACGGCCCAGACUCCUACGGGAGGCAGCAGUGGGGAAUUUUGGACAAUGGGCGAAAGCCUGAUCCAGCAAUGCCGCGUGCAGGAAGAAGGCCUUCGGGUUGUAAACUGCUUUUGUACGGAACGAAACGGUCCGCUUUAAUACAGUGGGCUAAUGACGGUACCGUAAGAAUAAGCACCGGCUAACUACGUG